UCGAGUUGAGUUACAAGUUUUUUUUUUUAAAUCAAGACUUAAGUCAUGUUUUUUUUAAAUACAGAAAAUGAUUUAUUCAAUUACAAAUCUUUGUUUAUUUAUUGGCGCAACUAAACAGCCCUUUUUUCUUUGUCUACAACACAUUCUGAUGAUGUAAUAAUUAAUUUCAACAAAUUCCAAAUCCAAGCUUCUUAAAUCAAUUAUACAUCUCAAGCAAUUUCGACAUAGAAAAACACCAAUAGUCCUAUGUUAUUAAUUGAUGCUUGAUGCCCCAUUGCUGGGGAGCUUGCAACGUAAACGGUUCAUAUACUUCAUCACCAAACCAUUUUUGGAGCUCCAUAUUCUUCUAUGGCAGUCACCUCUCCCUCCAAUUUGACGUUUGCGCUGCACCCAUUUCUAUAGCUGUAGAGCAAAUUAGCCAUCUGUUCGCGAGCUCAGCGGUUUUAAACACGCGACCCCGCACAAUCACUGCGCAAAUGUAGCCUGUCAUUACAGCCAUAAAUGGUGAUGCGUUUUCAAACGACAAGAUACAGAAAUAAACUGCGUUUUACACCUGCGUUUUGAGCUGACAUUUUGAAAGUUACGUAUCUUGAAAACUGGAUUGCUGACAGUCCCAAAAUGUUUUGCUUGUCAGCAAUGAACUAAUGAAUCAAAUAUCAAAAUAUAUUUUUGGGGGGUGGAAUUUUCCUUUAACUUCCCAGAAUAUGUCACACGUUCAUCCAUGUUACCAGUUAUACCAUUAUAACCCUCCCAAACUAGGACUAUCUGAAAUAUGACGAUGAUGAAUGACAUCACCAGGUAGCCUACUGUUGUGACAGAGUUGUGUCUGUAGCAGAUUGCUAAACGGUACUUUAUAUGUACGUUAUACAUACUUUAUUCAUUAUUAAACUACUCUGUUUUUCGCCAGGCAAAACCGGAGAAAAUUAAACAAGCGCUUUCUGGUCACUAAUCUGGGUAUGUGCGCCCGCCAAUGCUGAUGACUGGUCAUUGGUCAACAGUCAAGACGCACAAUUUCUUUUGAUUCUGAAGCACAGAUUAGGUGUUUUUUUAAUAAGGAUGUGGUGGAAUGCUAUAGGCUUAUGUUAGUGACCAGAUCGAAUAAGCAAAGAUAUAAUAUAGAAAUAGUAGGCCAUAUGUAGCCUAUUAACAUAUGAAGAAAAUAAAUCCCUUUCAGUUUCACUUUUACAACCCCCCACAACCUUCUCACUGUGCAAUAUCACCCAAACUGUAUUGAUUGACAGUUUGCUGGUCCAAUCAGAGGGUUGAGUGUGCUUUUCACUAGCCAAUCAACUUUUUUGCAAGUACGAUACUGUCUCUGGCUGCGUGGAGAGUAAUCCACGGAGAAGUCAUCCGUCUCAAGUCGAAGUCGAGUCCAGAGUGUCGAAACUGCAAGUCCAUGUCAAGUCUCCAGUUAUUUUAUGUUUCAUCAAGUCCAGUCUCAAGUCAUAAACUUUAUGAGUAAAGAGUCAGACUGGAACCCAAGUCAUGUGACUUGAUUCCUCUGGUGCGUUGUGUGUGUGUGUGUGUCUGAGUUAGAAUGCUGGUGUGUCCAGUUUCCCUGAGCUCAGCCAUUCUAUACUCCCACACUGACUGCUCCUCAGCUGUCCCUCUCUCAUACUGCAUCCUGAACUGCCCCCGCAACACACACACACACACAGACAGACAGACAGACAGACACACACAGGACCGUUUACUAGGUACACCACCACAUUCACCAUAAUGGAUGGCUCCUACAGACAGUGACCCUGGCUUGCUAUAUAAAGCAGACGGACAGGCAUUGAGGCCUUCAGUUACGGUUCGAUUGAAUGUCAGAGUGUGUGUGUGUGUGUGUGUGUGUGUGUGUGUGAGUGAGAGUGUGUGUGUGUGUGUGUGUGAGUGAGUGAGUGUGUGUGUGUGUGUGUGUGAGUGAGUGAGUGUGUGUGUGUGAGUGUGUGUGUGUGUGUGUGUGUGUGUGUGAGUGAGUGUGUGUGUGUGUUGGGGGGGGUUGCAGGGUUAAUGUCUUGUGUAGAGAGCAAGUGUGUCUCCUGAAUUAGAGGGGUUGCCAAAAGAAGUUGGAUGGUUGCCGAGAAGGGGUUGCCUAGGGGUGUUGGGUGUUGCUAGGGCGGGUUGUGUUUCUGCUGUGUAGCCUGUUUGCAUGUUGGCGGUGCGUAGGACGCGUGUGGCCUUCUCAGACUACAGCCCAAAACAAACACACACACACACACACACACACACUCUCUCGACAGGAGAAAACCAGGGCUAGAAGUAACAAAUUGUCCAGGGUCUCUCCAUCUCCUCUCUCUACAGUCCCUCCAUGUGAAAGGGAGAGACUUUUCUUUCAGGCAGAAGAACAGGAGGAGGAGGAGGAGAGAAAGUGUUAGCUGAUCACUGAUCAGAUGUUAUGUGGAUGGGGGUUGGGGGUCAGAGAGGUCUAGAAUGGUGUGUGUUUAAAGGGUGGUUAUAUAUAGACAGUCUUCUAAGGUCGAUGGAGCCUGUCUUAACCCUCUGAGGAAUUCAGAGCACGUCUUUAGACACACACACACAUACAUUCACACACACACACAAACAUUCACACACACAUACAUUCACACACACACACCAGACAGAUACAUUCACACACACCAAGUCCUAAAUUCACCCUCCUCUCUUCUAUCAUUAAAACACAUUGUAAUUCACCCUCCUCUCUUCUCUCAUAUCAUUAAAACACACUAUGAGUUCACCCUUCUCUCUUCUUCUCUCAUCUCAUUAAAACACACUGAGUUCACCCUCCUCUUCUUCUCUCCUAUCAUUAAAACACACUAUGAGUUCAUCCUCCUCUCUUCUUCUCUCCUAUCAUUAAAACACACUGAGUUCACCCUCCUCUCUUCUUCUCUCUUAUCAUUAAAACACACUGAGUUCACCCUUCUCUCUUCUUCUCUCAUCUCAUUAAAACACACUGAGUUCACCCUCCUCUUCUUCUCUCCUAUCAUUAAAACACACUAUGAGUUCAUCCUCCUCUAUUCUUCUCUCCUAUCAUUAAAACACACUGAGUUCAUCCUCCUCUCUUCUUCUCUCCUAUCAUUAAAACACACUAUGAGUUCAC
ensembl:lncRNA